rnacentral:rRNA from 1 species
AACCUACGGGAGGCAGUAGGGAAUAUUGCACAAUGGGGGAAACCCUGAUGCAGCGACGCCGCGUGAGUGAAGAAGUAUUUCGGUAUGUAAAGCUCUGUCAGCAGGGAAGAAAAUGACGGUACCUGACCAAGAAGCCCCGGCUAACUACGUGCCAGCAGCCGCGGUAAUACGUAGGGGGCAAGCGUUAUCCGGAUUUACUGGGUGUAAAGGGAGCGUAGACGGCAGGGCAAGUCUGGAGUGAAAGGCGGGGGCUCAACCCCCGGACUGCUCUGGAAACUGUAAAGCUGGAGUGCGGGAGGGGCAGG